GACAGAUUCCACUGAUUUGUCUGCUUAUUCCUCUUAUCAUUUCCUCAUAAAAAUAAUGGGAUUAAAUGAGUGUUUAGUUCCUGGUAUAGGUGUAUGUUGUGUGUGUAUACAUACACAUGCAUGCACACACAGGUAAAUUAUAUAUUUUUAAGGUUUUUUGUAUGAAUGAUGUCACUUAAGGAUAAUUUAUAUCUGAUAAAGAGUAAUUUUAAGCUUUUUUACUUGUUUAAAUAUAAUGCCCCCAUUUUAUACAAAAUUUAUUGUGUUUGGAAACUGAGUGACUACAGAAAAUGAGAGUUCCUCUACCCAACAACAUAGUCUACAUGAUGAUCACUGCCACCAGACUAUGCCUUUAGAGUCAGCAGCAUCAAAUCCAUUGCAAAUAGAUAAAUUACACCAGAGCUGUGUUUGGUUUGCUAGCUACAUGUCAGUGUUUUGCCAAAUAAGGACUUGGAUCUUGUGUAUGAUGUCAGGCAUAAGUCUGAUUUUACAUAUGCUCUUUUUCUCUAUGUAAAUUAGUUGAUGAGAUUAGGUUUUCUAAGGUUUUUGUAACUACUUCAGUUUUUUGUGACUGUGCAUUGAGAAAUGUGUCCAGUGUGUGGUGGAGAAAAGAACCUGCAAUUUAGAAGUGAGGAAAAUAAGUCUUUUUCUCAAAAGAACACAUGAACUGACUUUAUAAAUAUGGAUCAGAUUCUGCCUUCAAAAGUGUGCAAAACUCUUCCAAACACAAUGGGACCAAUAUAAGCUUAUCUGAGAGCAGAAUGUGAGCUACAAAGUCAAGCAGAAGCAUCUUUUUUUAAUCCCUGAAACCAGCUAGAGUGGUAGAACACGUGUUUUUGUUAUAUAGUUGUUGGAAGCGUCAGUCUGAUUUAGUAACUCUAUGCUGCUGAAACCCUAUGAAAAUCUGGUCAACCUCUAAUGCACUAAAACCUUGCUGGCAAAAAGAAAAAAAUCAUCUCAGAAGACAGUGUAUAAUUUCACCAGCAUUUAUUACUAAUACUAAAUACUGUCACUACUUGUCAUAGAUAAGAGUUAAAGAAACAAAGCAGAACUUCCUUAUGCGCAGUCUUUAGAAAUUACUUGUAUUUCCUAUUCUGUAUUUUUUCUUUAAAUUCUCAUUGAAACCUGAGGACUGUGAGGACUGAAAGGAAGGCAGGGUGUAGAAAAAUGAUGAGUGUUUUAUGUGUGUUAAGUUUCUUGGGUAAUGGAUCAAGUGGGAUUGAGAAAAAUAAUACACAGACAAUGGGCCUUUCAUUAAUCAUAAAAGCUUAGGGAUUGUUUUUUUAAAAAAGUGUAAAUUGGAAUAUUAAAUGUUUUUAAAGCAGUCUCCAAAGUAAGUCCUGAGCUUUCUACCACACAGGUAAAAUUAUCUCAUUUAACAAAAAGAGUGUUUCUUUACACUGACUCUGACUUUAGUGUUAGCUUAAUUGUAAAACCUUAGUUAUAGAUUAAUUCCGUAGUCUACCAACUACACCUUAACUCUCAUUUUCUUUUAAAGUAUAUAGGAUCAUUUUCCUCCUGUGUAAAUUAAAAGAUUUCAAACAACUGUUUUGAUGUGAUAAAGGUAAAAGAUUGAUAAAGGUAAAAGAUUGAUAAAGGUUGACCUGCUGUUACCCUUGUCACAAUUCAUGGCUAUUUGUGAGUGGGAAACAAUCUCUGGUUGUCUAUUUAACUUAAAUUUUAAAAAUGCUUAAUGGAGUAUAUCUAAGUAUAUAAAAAGGUUAAUUAUGUUCUUUAAACAGUGUGAUAAACCCUUUACAAAAAAAGAUUCCUCAGAAUCUACUUUCACCCAUAAUAGCCUUUAAAGCAUGUACUAAAGCAUUUACUGAAAUGAUAAAUAUUUUUUGUUUCAUUACAAAUUACUUUUCACUGUUAGAGGGAGUUCAGUUUUGUGAGUAAUGGAUGAUGAAACUGGGUUCUUGGUGGAAGAAAGACUUGAGCUGUAAUACCCAUCUUCCAGACACAUCACAUCACGCUGCUACUGCUUUUCUUCUGUAGCAUUUGGCAUUGGACUGCUGCAUGUGAAGGGGCACGGCCAGUAUUCCCUUAUCAGACACCUGCCUGAAUGUUUAAAAUGCUCUAAAAUCAAAAAGAGCAGGCUCACAGGACAAAUUGCACUGUAAGCUGCUUGCUGUCCUGAAAUUUAAAAAAAAUGUAUAUAAAUUAACCAAAAAAAAAAAAAAAAAAAAGAAAAGAAAAAAAAAAAGAAAAAAGCUUUCUUGCAUCUCCCUCAUGGUUUUGCUGUAUUGUGGAAGAGGCUGGUGAAAGAGAAUAAGCUGCUGCUAAUGUGACAGGUCAAGGCUUUUAGAAGGCCCGUGGGGAGCUUAUACAGAGCAGGAUUCUUGGGAGGAGGCUUUGUUUCUAGGGAUGGAAUCUAUCCAUGAGAAACUCUGGCUUUGCUUGGUACUUGUUUCCCUCUGCCUUUGACCAUGUUUUUCAGAAGAGCUGCUGCAGGAGAUGAAUAGCUCAACAAAAGCCUCACUAUUUAGGGAGCUGUGCUCCCUCAGCACAUGACCUUAAAUGAGAAAGCAGCCUUUAAUUCACAAGGAAUUUCUUCACUGAUUGCAGAAGGACUGUGCUUCCUAUAGUGCUUAAUAUGGGAGAUAUUAAAGACAAAUUAGUUCAUAUUAGUUUUCAAUGUAUUGUAUGUCAAAAAUGCUCAUAAAAAUAGGGGGAAAAGUAACUAACCUCAGAAUAGAGCGUUCCAAAGUUCUCAAAUAGCACUUCUUAUACUGGGCUUCUUCAAAAAAAUUUAGAAAGAAGUCCAAUAAUUCUACUGCAUGCUUAUAUCCAAAAGUAUUCCAGCGGAUACUGCUGCAUCUCAUCAUUGGUUUGGAGAAUUGUUUUUAGAUUUGGUCCCACAAAUGAAGCAUGUGCAUGACUUUUAACAGCAUAUUUGUUACUGUUAAAAUCCAUAUGUAUACUUUUCCAAUUCUAGUGCCCUUUUUUAACCUUUGACCCAUUAUUUGCCUGACACUUCAGAAACUGCAUGUUUAUGUAAUUAAAAAGUAUGUGUUUUCCUUCAGAUUUUUUUUGAGUACUAUAAAAUGAAGAAAUGCUAUGAAAUAGUUCUUUCCAAGCAUUCAUGACUAUACUAAUAAGAUUGCUACAGAAAUGUGUGGGAAAAUAGCUGUUUCAUCCAGAAAACGUGUGCAUGGUAUGCAAGGAAUUUUCAUUGUGCCCAGCUGAAAUUCUCUUACAUUUGCAAGAACGUUAAAAAUGAACCAUAAAAAGGAAGGAUGUUCGUAUGGGCAUAGUUUACAUUUUAGCUAUUAUUUACAACUGGAUUUACUUUUUCCUCUCUGUGAUGUCAUGAAAACCUGCUAUGUAAAGCAUUCUUCUGACUGCAAUGGAAAAAUAUUUUUUUCCCAGUCUGAUCAUAUAUAAUAUUUAUUUCCUGCUUAGUGUGCAUGUUUUGCAAACCAUGGGAGUAAAUGUGUGAAACAGCUUCAAGCACCCCUCCAUCCUAAAAUAGACAUAGGGUCUGGUGAUGCCCAGGGCAGAGACAUGCAAGGGCAUGGCUGCCUGUGUGGGGCUUCAAGAGGGACAGUGAGUGCUGGGGGUCCCCACAGCAUCCAUGCAGAAAUGAUGCUCUGAGAUCUCACUUUGCCUUUUGUCAGGGCAGGAAACCUCUUCAAAGUAGUGGUGCAGUGCCCUAGGUUUGCAUCUCAGGCACUUGCCCCAGACUGGGGCUGCAUUGUGUGCAGUCUCAACCCUAAUGCUGCGGGCUUUUCGCAUCUUUAUUCAUCAAAAAUGCCUGCACACAACCCAGCAAGGGACAGCCUGUAAACCUGGAUGCUGCAGCCCUCCGUUAAAGCUCCUGAAGAGCGUUUGGGCACCUGCCCAUUGACUUCCCACCAGCUCCUGGAUCUCCACCAGCCAGCCUUAAGGAAUGUAACAGUGGCUGUAAAGGGCACUUGUCACAGACGCGUUUGUGCUGAGUCAGUGCUGGGUGACUCCUACUCUGUCCCGACUGCGAGUGACGCCUGGUGACAAUGUCCUGGCUACCAUUUUGCAACAGAGGGGAAAGCAGAAAUGAAGCAAUACUUAAGAAAAACACUAAUUUUUAAUUCUGAUCUUGAGACUGCUCUGAUGCACAGAUGCCAUUGCCAAGGAAAAGGCUUGCUGCCCAGACUCUCCAAAGAGAAAAUAAACCUAAAUUACAGCCUCUAAAGCUGGAGGAGGAAAGAGAUCCUGAUUUCAGCCACUUUUUUGACACCAGUCAUGUUCUGCAACAGAGACAAGAACCUUGGAAAUGCAUUCCUGCUACCCUGGGUUUCAAACCAAGCACUUUAAUGUAUUGUAUAAAGUAAAUAAAAAUCUAGUUUUGCCAAAACUCAAGUGGUCUGAA